GGCUGAGUAACACGUGGGCAACCUGCCCCCUCCACCGGGACAGCCUCGGGAAACCGUGGGCAAUACCGGAUACUCCGGGACGGCCGCAUGGCCGGCCCGGGAAAGCCCAGACGGGAGGGGAUGGGCCCGCGGCCUGUUAGCUAGUCGGCGGGGUAACGGCCCACCGAGGCGAUUAUGGGUAGCCGGGUUGAGAGACCGACCGGCCAGAUUGGGACUGAGACACGGCCCAGACUCCUACGGGAGGCAGCAGUGGGGAAUCUUGCGCAAUGGGCGGAAGCCUGACGCAGCGACGCCGCGUGCGGGACGAAGGCCUUCGGGUCGUAAACCGCUUUCAGCAGGGACGAGGCCCUCACGGUGACGGUACCUGCAGAAGAAGCCCCGGCUAACUACGUGCCAGCAGCCGCGGUAAUACGUAGGGGGCGAGCGUUAUCCGGAUUCAUUGGGCGUAAAGCGCGCGUAGGCGGCCUGUUAGGUCGGGGGUCAAAUACCGGGGCUCAACCCCGGUCCGCCCCCGAUACCGGCAGGCUUGAGUCUGGUAGGGGAAGGCGGAAUUCCCAGUGUAGCGGUGGAAUGCGCAGAUAUUGGGAAGAACACCGGCGGCGAAGGCGGCCUUCUGGGCCACGACUGACGCUGAGGCGCGAAAGCUAGGGGAGCGAACAGGAUUAGAUACCCUGGUAGUCCUAGCCGUAAACGAUGGACGCUAGGUGUGGGGG
rnacentral:rRNA from 1 species